rnacentral:rRNA from 1 species
GGAGCAUUCUGUAAGCCGUCGAAGAAGGACUGAGAGGUUCUUUGGAGGUAUCAGAAGAGAGAAUGCUGACAUGAGUAACGAGAGAUAGGUGAAAACCCUAUCCGCCGAAUGACCAAGGUUUCCUGUCCAACGCUAAUCGGGACAGGGUAAGUCGGCCCCUAAGGCGAGGGCGAAGGCCGUAGUCGAUGGAAAACAGGUUAACAUUCCUGUACUUCCUAUUACUGCGAUGGAGUGACGGAGAAGGCUAGAUCAGCAGGGCGUUGGUUGUCCCUGUUUAAGGCUGUAGACUUGUAUUUUAGGUAAAUCCGGAAUACUUUAAGUCGAGAUCUGAUGACGAUUGAUUUUUUAAAUCAAGAAGUGAUUGAUGCCACGCUUCCAGGAAAAACUUCUAAGCAUAAGUAGUAGGGAACCGUACUGCAAACCGACACAGGUGGUCAGGUAGAGAAUACUAAGGCGCAUGAGAGAACUUGGGUUAAGGAACUAGGCAAAAUGGUACCGUAACUUCGGGAGAAGGUACGCCUCUAUUACGUGAAAGAACUUGCUUCUCGAGCGGAAAGAGGUCGAAGAUACCAGAUGGCUGCGACUGUUUACUAAAAACAUAGCACUCUGCAAACACUAAUGUGGAAGUAUAGGGUGUGACGCCUGCCCGGUGCCGGAAGGUUAAUUGAUCAGGUUAGUCCUCGGACGAAGCUUGUGAUCGAAGCCCCGGUGAACGGCGGCCGUAACUAUAACGGUCCUAAGGUAGCGAAAUUCCUUGUCGGGUAAGUUCCGACCUGCACGAAUGGCGUAACGAUGGCCAUACUGUCUCGACCCAGGACUCAGUGAAAUUGAAUUUGCGGUGAAGAUGCCGUAUACGCGCGGCAAGACGGAAAGACCCCGUGCACCUUUACUAUAGCUUCACACUGGACUUUGAAUUUAUAUGUGUAGGAUAGGUGGGAGACUUUGAAGCAUAGGCGUCAGCUUAUGUGGAGUCGUCCUUGAAAUACCACCCUUAUACAUUUGAGGUUCUAACUUAGACCCGUUAUCCGGGUUGAGGACAGUGUGUGGUGGGUAGUUUGACUGGGGCGGUCUCCUCCCAAAGAGUAACGGAGGAGUACGAAGGUAUCCUCAGCAUGGUCAGACAUCAUGCAAUGAGUGCAAUGGCAAAAGGAUGCUUAACUGCGAGACUGACAAGUCGAGCAGGUACGAAAGUAGGUCAUAGUGAUCCGGUGGUUCUGUAUGGAAGGGCCAUCGCUCAACGGAUAAAAGGUACGCCGGGGAUAACAGGCUUAUACCCCCCAAGAGUUCACAUCGACGGGGGUGUUUGGCACCUCGAUGUCGGCUCAUCACAUCCUGGGGCUGGAGCAGGUCCCAAGGGUAUGGCUGUUCGCCAUUUAAAGUGGUACGCGAGCUGGGUUUAGAACGUCGUGAGACAGUUCGGUCCCUAUCUGCCGUGCGCGUUGGAUAUUUGAGAGGAGUUGCUCCUAGUACGAGAGGACCGGAGUGAACGAACCUCUGGUGUUCGGGUUGUCACGCCAGUGGCAUUGCCCGGUAGCUAUGUUCGGAAAGGAUAACCGCUGAAAGCAACUAAGUGGGAAGCCUACCUCAAGAUGAGAUAUCCCUGAACCUUCGGGUUCCUGAAGAGCCGUUCAAGACUAGGACGUUGAUAGGCAGGGUGUGUAAGUGCUGUAAGGCAUUGAGCUAACCUGUACUAAUUGCUCGUGAGGCUUAACUAA